GUUUUUUGUUUAAAUGUUUUUUCGCCUAAGGAUGGGUCUGCGGCCGAUUAGGUAGUUGGUUAGGUAAUGGCUUACCAAGCCGUUGAUCGGUACGGGUUGUGAGAGCAAGAGCCCGGAGAUGGAACCUGAGACAAGGUUCCAGGCCCUACGGGGUGCAGCAGGCGCGAAACCUCCGCAAUGUGAGAAAUCGCGACGGGGGGAUCCCAAGUGCCAUUCUUAACGGGAUGGCUUUUCAUUAGUGUAAAGAGCUUUUGGAAUAAGGGCUGGGCAAGACCGGUGCCAGCCGCCGCGGUAACACCGGCAGCUCUAGUGGUAGCAGUUUUUAUUGGGCCUAAAGCGUCCGUAGCCGGUUUAAUAAGUCUCUGGUGAAAUCCUGUAGCUUAACUGUGGGAAUUGCUGGAGAUACUAUUAGACUUGAGACCGGGAGAGGUUAGAGGUACUCCCAGGGUAGAGGUGAAAUUCUGUAAUCCUGGGAGGACCGCCUGUUGCGAAGGCGUCUAACUGGAACGGUUCUGACGGUGAGGGACGAAAGUUAGGGGCGCGAACCGGAUUAGAUACCCGGGUAGUCCUAACCGUAAACGAUGCGGACUUGGUGUUGGGGUGGCUUUGAGCUGCUCCAGUGCCGAAGGGAAGCUGUUAAGUCCGCCGCCUGGGAAGUACGGUCGCAAGACUGAAACUUAA
rnacentral:rRNA from 1 species